rnacentral:rRNA from 1 species
GACGUAGGGGCCAGCGUUGUUCGGAAUUACUGGGUGUAAAGGGUUCGUAGGCGGUGUGGCAAGUCGGGAGUGAAAUCUCUGGGCUCAACUCAGAGACUGCUUCCGAAACUGCUGUGCUGGAGUGUGGGAGAGGCGCGUGGAAUUGCAGGUGUAGCGGUGAAAUGCGUAGAUAUCUGCAGGAACACCCGUGGCGAAGGCGGCGCGCUGGACCACUACUGACGCUGAGGAACGAAAGCUAGGGGAGCAAACAGG